rnacentral:ncRNA from 1 species
GUGAGCAGUACGAGCUGAAAGGCUCCCAUACUGUUUGGAGGAGGAACUCUAGGACCUUCCCUUUGAUCUAAAGGGGUGUCACCAUAGUCAAACUAUCCCCU